GAUGAACGCUGGCGGCGUGCCUAAUACAUGCAAGUCGAGCGAACAGAUGAGGAGCUUGCUCCUCUGACGUUAGUGGCGGACGGGUGAGUAACACGUGGAUAACCUACCUAUAAGACUGGGAUAACUUCGGGAAACCGGAGCUAAUACCGGAUAAUAUAUUGAACCGCAUGGUUCAAUAGUGAAAGACGGUUUUGCUGUCACUUAUAGAUGGAUCCGCGCCGCAUUAGCUAGUUGGUAAGGUAACGGCUUACCAAGGCAACGAUGCGUAGCCGACCUGAGAGGGUGAUCGGCCACACUGGAACUGAGACACGGUCCAGACUCCUACGGGAGGCAGCAGUAGGGAAUCUUCCGCAAUGGGCGAAAGCCUGACGGAGCAACGCCGCGUGAGUGACGAAGGUCUUCGGAUCGUAAAACUCUGUUAUUAGGGAAGAACAAAUGUGUAAGUAACUAUGCACGUCUUGACGGUACCUAAUCAGAAAGCCACGGCUAACUACGUG
rnacentral:rRNA from 1 species